rnacentral:rRNA from 1 species
UACGGAAGGCAGCAGUGGGGAAUAUUGCACAAUGGGCGCAAGCCUGAUGCAGCCAUGCCGCGUGUAUGAAGAAGGCCUUCGGGUUGUAAAGUACUUUCAGUCGUGAGGAAGGUGUUAAGGUUAAUAACCUUAGCAAUUGACGUUAGCGACAGAAGAAGCACCGGCUAACUCCGUGCCAGCAGCCGCGGUAAUACGGAGGGUGCGAGCGUUAAUCGGAAUUACUGGGCGUAAAGGGCACGCAGGCGGUUAAUUAAGUUGGAUGUGAAAUUCCCGGGCUUAACCUGGGAAUGGCAUUCAAGACUGGUUAGCUAGAGUCUUGUAGAGGGGGUAGAAUUCCAUGUGUAGCGGUGAAAUGCGUAGAGAUGUGGAGGAGUACCGGUGGCGAAGGCGGCCCCUGGACAAAGGCUGACGCUCAUGUGCGAAAGCGUGGGGAGCAAACGAGGAUUAGAUACC